rnacentral:rRNA from 1 species
GGACCCGCACAAGCGGUGGAGCAUGUGGUUUAAUUCGAAGCAACGCGAAGAACCUUACCUGGUCUUGACAUCCUUCUGAAUAGCAAGUAAUGUUGCUAGGCCUUCGGGACAGAAGAGACAGGUGGUGCAUGGUUGUCGUCAGCUCGUGUCGUGAGAUGUUGGGUUAAGUCCCGCAACGAGCGCAACCCUUAUCCUAAGUAGCCAGCAGGUCAAGCUGGGCACUCUGAGGAGACUGCCGGGGAUAACCCGGAGGAAGGUGGGGAUGACGUCAAAUCAUCAUGCCCCUUAUGAUCAGGGCUACACACGUGCUACAAUGGCGUAAACAGAGGGAAGCGAGACUGUGAAGUGAAGCAAAUCCCAAAAAUGCGUCUCAGUUCGGAUUGUAGUCUGCAACUCGACUACAUGAAGCUGGAAUCGCUAGUAAUCGCGAAUCAGCAUGUCG